rnacentral:rRNA from 1 species
UACGAAGGGGACUAGCGUUGUUCGGAAUCACUGGGCGUAAAGCGCACGUAGGCGGAUUUGUAAGUCAGGGGUGAAAUCCCGGGGCUCAACCUCGGAACUGCCUUUGAUACUGCGAAUCUUGAGUCCGAUAGAGGUGGGUGGAAUUCCUAGUGUAGAGGUGAAAUUCGUAGAUAUUAGGAAGAACACCAGUGGCGAAGGCGGCCCACUGGAUCGGUACUGACG